AGUUGCAACAAUCUAGGGUUUGCUUUGCUCGUUCGGUCUGGCGAUUCUGGGCGACGGCUGGGCAACAACUGAGAAGGAUGGUUCCACUGCUGUUUUCGGCCGAUCUCUUCGACGAUCUCUAACCAGAUAUGAAGUGUGUUGAUGCUCUCUUAAAGGCCACAUGUACUGUUAUGAAGAUGAUGUGUCGUUGCCAUUGUCAUCCACUUUAUGAACUUCUUAUCAAUUUUUACUGACAAUUAUGUAUUGUUAAUGCUUUGUUCUAAACAUUUUAUGUACAACUUAAACUUGUUUAAUUUGUUGGUUGAAUAUUUAAAGACUUGUAAAUGGUAUACACUCUAUUUCAAUUAUGCUUUCAGUUGGGUUUGUUUUUAUUUUAAUGUUGUGUUAGACUAUAUAGGUAACAGGAUAAUAAAAUUGAAGCAGGUUAUUGCAAAGAA